rnacentral:misc_RNA from 1 species
GAUGAAGAACGUAGCGAAAUGCGAUAAGUAGUGUGAAUUGCAGAAUUCAGUGAAUCAUCGAAUCUUUGAACGCACAUUGCGCCCCUUGGUAUUCCAUGGGGCAUGCCUGUUCGAGCGUCAUUUGUACCUUCAAGCUCUGCUUGGUGUUGGGUGUUUGUCCUUGCUCUAGUGGCGGGACUCGCCUUAAAGUAAUUGGCAGCCAGUGUUUUGGUUUUGAAGCGCAGCACAAGUUGCGAUUCAAGUCUAUACGCUAGUUUCCACAAGUCUUUUAUCACUUUUGACCUCGGAUCAGGUAGGGAUACCCGCUGAACUUAAGCAUAUCAAUAAGCGGAGGA